rnacentral:tRNA from 1 species
ACAAUGGUGAUUGAGUGUUUGAAUCCUUGCCUUACAUGCAGGAGAACCUGGGUUCAAUUCCCAGUCAAUGCA